AGCAUGAAGUGCCCAUGUGGCGUGUUGCUGCCUCAUCAGAGUGGCAUAGACUGUAGGUAGCGGGCAUGAAGUGCCCAUGUGGCAUGUUGCUGCCUCAUCAGAGUGGCAUAGACUGUAGGUAGCGGGCAUGAAGUGCCCAUGUGGCGUGUCGCUGCCUCGUGAGAGUGGCAUAGACUGUAGGUAGCGGGCAUGAAGUGCCCAUGUGGCAUUUCGCUGCCUCGUGAGAGUGGCGUAGACUGUAGGUAGUGGGCAUGAAGUGCCCAUGUGGCAUGUCGCUGACUUGUGAGAGUGGCAUAGACUGUAGGUAGCGGGCAUGAAGUGCCCAUGUGGCAUUUCGCUGCCUCGUGAGAGUGGCGUAGACUGUAGGUAGUGGGCAUGAAGUGCCCAUGUGGCAUGUCGCUGACUUGUGAGAGUGGCAUAGACUGUAGG